CCUUCUCUUCUUGGUGGGGUCGGCGGUCUGGUGCCCUGAAGUACAGAGGAGAGUGAAAGGGCUCCGGCCCCCUGGGCAUCCUGCCUUGGAUGCCAAUGGUUUCCAGUCUGC
rnacentral:snoRNA from 1 species